AUUGAACGCUGGCGGCGUGCUUAACACAUGCAAGUCGAGCGGUAACAGGCGUAGCAAUACGUGCUGACGAGCGGCGAACGGGUGCGUAAUACAUGGGAAUCUGCCUAGUAGUGGGGAAUAACCCGGCGAAAGCCGGGCUAAUGCCGCAUACGAUCCACGGAUGAAAGCGGGGGACCUUCGGGCCUCGCGCUAUUGGAUGAGCCCAUGUCGGAUUAGCUAGNGGUGAGGUAACGGCUCACCAAGGCGACGAUCCGUAGCUGGUCUGAGAGGACGGCCAGCCACACUGGGACUGAGACACGGCCCCAGACUCCUACGGGAGGCAGCAGUGGGGAAUAUUGGGCAAUGGGCGCAAG
rnacentral:rRNA from 1 species